rnacentral:lncRNA from 1 species
UUCUGGGCUAGUAUUGUCUUAGACUCUCCUGGCAUGCUGUAGUCACGUGGCCCCUUGCAUUGCGAAGAUUGUAAACGUGGAUCCGUGAAAUGUUGCUUUGCCUUUUACUUUGCCAUCUGGAUUUCAUUCUCUCAGUUCCCACACCUGAGUUCAGGGUCCUAAGUGAUGCAUCAAGAGCCAACCCCCCCUUUUCAGAUCUCAUUCUUCACUCGGCACUGCAAGAUUAACGUCACAUCUACACUGUAGCAGCUUGUAAGGUGUUUCCAACUUGCUGAGUUAGAUGAUGAAAAAGAAAAAAGGUCUGGUGCUGUUCUAGAUCAUACAAUGGGAAGUCAUCACAGCAACCAGAAAUUUCUCAAAUAUAGAAGGGUCAGUAAGACACUAACUGGCAGCAGACGUAUGGUAAUAUGAGCCCUAAAGAAGUGAAUAUGUAAAGGUUUUCUUCUUUUUUGCAUAUUCAUCCGACAUGCACCAAAAAGAGCUUUCUGUCACAGUCAGCCAUGUUGGAACAGUAAGGUUACCUUUCCCAGGAGUCCGAGCCCUUUUGGGACCAUCUUUUGUGUGCUACAGUUUAGGACAAGCGACCGAAGAUCCCCUGCUGUGGAGAAUUACGAACUCCGGCACUUGAGUGUGAUGGAGAUGAGGUGCCCCCGCGCACGAGGCCACUCUGACAUGAAGACUGAAGAUUGCUUCUAACUGAAGAUAAUUGAGAAAGAGCAAACUGCAGAAAAAGCUCUUUACCCUCCCGCUUUUUCUUAAAAGCAGUGCAUAAAUUCUUCUUUGUGAUGGCAUCCCCACCCCUCUCCCCUACCAAGAAGAUCAGAAUGACUUUUAAUCACUGGGGAUGACUCCUGCCUGCCCAGAGAGGCACUAAGAGGAAUCGCGUGACAAACUUUACUAAAAUAACCCGUAUCUUCCAACAGUUUUCCCAUAUAUUUACCUUCCCAUACUUUACUGUCCCUUAAAGCUCAAAACCUCUUUUGCCUUGUCACUUCUCCAGAAAGUUAUAGCCCUUUGUUCAAAUGGUAUAUAAAUCUCCAGGUCUGACUACCUCUUUGGGGUUUUCAUUUUAUUUCUGUGAGCCACCCCCCCCCCAGCCCCGCCCCGCCAGCAUCUGAAAUAAACUUCUUCUGUGAGUCUGUCUUUUGUCA